AAAUAACAACAUAAUAUUAUUAUUUUUUCGUAUGCCGACUUUAAAUUUGAAUCACUCACGAAUCUCGAUUAUUUGAAAUUUGAACAAAAAUACAGACUACGGAACAGUCGUAAAGAGUUCUAUUCAUACAUUUUAGUACAAAACCAUCAUGGACAAGUGUGUUCUUUUCAGUAAAACAUUCAAUGUAUCGCCUCGCCACACAUCACGUUCAUCUUCAUUUAUUUCCAAAAAAUCAAUGAAAUAAAAGGAAAUAAUGGCUAAAAAUCUUCGAAUUAAAUGAUUAUCCCUAUUUCUAUCAGUCAUAGUAUCUGUGGUAAUCAUUUCACAACUAUUAGUAAUUGUAAACAAUGUUCUCAAAACAUAAUUCAAACCACUUGUCUGGGAUAGAGAAGAAAUAACAAAUUUAAUUGUUUACGGCAACAUUGGUACAACCUACUCUGAGCACGACUAGUAAAUCGCAUCUAAGAGAAAAUUUUGUUUCUCCAACGAUGAGUUAGAAGAAAAUGUACAGACGAAUAAAGGAUUUGGAGUCCAUACAGUUGAUGAUUUUAAUUCAUCCAGAAAAGCCUUAGAUACCCAAUAAUGUCUAAUUCACACACUGCACUUAUCUCAUACAAUGGAUUAUACCUAUUAUGGUUAUCAAAACUGAAUUAUUUUUCAUAAAAUUGUGUUUCUCGAACGAUGAUUAACCUACAAACAAAGGAUUUGGAGACUUUACAAUUUAUGAUUUCAAUUCACCCAGAAAACCCAGAAGAAAGCCUUAGAUACUCAAUCAUGUUUAAUUCACACACACUUAUGUAAUUAUAAUUAUCACCUCUACAUAUUUAAAUUGCAAAUAAACACAUAAUUAGUUAGGACUUCAGCAUCUUUUCUAAAGGGAAAGUGAUUCUAGUUGGAUGACAGGUAAAAAUUGAAAAUUCUCAGGUGUUUUCAAAUACAUUGGAAAAAACAAAUAUAUAAUUAAGAAAAAUGGUUAUUUUUACACAA